GGAGGGUGUAAGCGUUAUUCGGAAUUAUUGGGCGUAAAGAGCGCGUAGGCGGUUUUUUAAGUCAGAUGUGAAAGCCCGAGGCUUAACCUCGGAAGUGCAUUUGAAACUAAGAGACUUGAGUAUGGGAGAGGGAAGUGGAAUUCCUGGUGUAGAGGUGAAAUUCGUAGAUAUCAGGAGGAACACCGGUGGCGAAGGCGACUUCCUGGACCAAUACUGACGCUGAGGCGCGAAGGCGUGGGGAGCAAACAAGAUUAGAUACCCUGGGUAGUCCACGCAGUAAACGGUGAACACUAGGUGUAGCGGGUAUUGACCCCCCUGCUGUGCCGAAGUUAACGCAUUAAGUGUUCCGCCUGGGGAGUACGACCGCAAGGUUA
rnacentral:rRNA from 1 species